GUAGACUGGCACAAUGAAGAUCUCCUAUCCAGGAUUCGCAGAGUUUGCAAUACCAAGCUGUUGAUGCACUGAAGAAUUGUAGCCCUAUAAUCAAAUAUUCCAACAGUUAGCAUUAUUUAAGCUUUGAAGCAGUCCCACGAUGAUCUGUGGAAAAACAGAAGGAAGGAAGAAAAAAUCAGUUUUAUUUCUCUCACAAAAAUAUUAUCUACAUUAUACAAAUAAUAAUGCAUAUAAGUAUAUAUAGUUAGAUAAAUUAAUGUACAUUAUAUUUUCAUAUGAAUAUACUGCAAUAAUUGUUUUCAAUACAAUUCCCAAAAUUUAAAGUGUUCGUUUACUGUUGAAUAAUUUUUUUUCUACUAUAUGAUAACUGUAUUGACAUAGUUUAUGUCUAAAAGAUCAUUUGCAGUAUAUUUUACAAACAGUUGAUACAAUUUGUUGCAUAAAUAAAUUAAUAUAAUAUAUUGAAAAAAGAUAAUACACAUCUUUUCAAUAUAAAUCAUAGUGAUAGAUUUUUCUUCGCAUAACUUCACCAAAACUUACACAUACAUGUACAUAUAUCUCAGUUAUAUAAGCAACAACACAAAAUACUUUAUAUAUAUUAUCUUAUAUGUCAUUACUUUUUCCUGAGUAAUGCACUCCACUAUAAGAUCUUGAUAUAUAUAGAUCUAGUCCUGAAGAUAGUUGCGAACAUACCUAAAUUGUGUAAAAUAUAGUUGCAAAAAAUAAAAUUAGAGACAUGUGGUGACACAAUAAAGUGACAUUGAUU